CACUCCUAUUUCUGCCCCAUCUUCUUAUUACUCCAUAGAUUAAUGGGUUCUAGUAAAGGAGAAGAAAAAGCCGUGGAAUGGCUUCCCGCACUUGAUACUUCGCGGUUUAGCUUCAUUCCGCGGAUCGUGUGUAGUGGCAGGUUAUCCGGCUGCAGCAUUUUAUGUGCAGUCGGGCUGUCAUUGCUCUAUAUUU
rnacentral:snoRNA from 18 species